UCAAGCUCGUUCUCGCAAAUGGCAUUAUACAUCACCAGCAUUUCUCAUCCAUCACCACUCCUCCUCACACUCAAUUACCGCGAUCGACUGUCGCCUCCGCAGGCGGUGGCGGCGACGGCUCGUCGUCGGGGCUCCAGAAGUCGCUGGGCCCAGAGGGCGGGAUGAUCUUACGCGGCAGCAGAUCCCCAACCACGCCAUGUGACGUCGUCGACGGAGGCAGCACGCCGUCCAAGCAAGGCCGUGCAUUCGCCACCGUUGCCAGGAGCGUCGCCGCUACUAGUACCAACACCGCCACCGUCGCCGUCGCCCUGGCGGCGGCAGUGUUCUUGUUGCUAGUCAUGGCUUCUGUUCCUUCCUUUGUUUUUGUAUAGGAGAGUGUACCGUGGUGGUGCCCUGGUGAUGGACUACUCGUAACGUGUAAUAUAUAUAUGGUUGAAAAAACGGCAGAUUUUGGCUUCUGUUCUUGUGGAGAGAAAAAAAAACGGCAGAUUUUCAAUGCACCGCCGCCGUGGUUUGGCA
rnacentral:misc_RNA from 1 species